rnacentral:rRNA from 1 species
GAUGAACGCUGGCGGCGUGCCUAAUACAUGCAAGUCGAGCGAACGGACGAGAAGCUUGCUUCUCUGAUGUUAGCGGCGGACGGGUGAGUAACACGUGGAUAACCUACCUAUAAGACUGGGAUAACUUCGGGAAACCGGAGCUAAUACCGGAUAAUAUUUUGAACCGCAUGGUUCAAAAGUGAAAGAAGGUCUUUCUGUCACUUAUAGAUGGAUCCGCGCUGCAUUAGCUAGUUGGUAAGGUAACGGCUUACCAAGGAAACGAUGCAUAACCGACCUGAGAGGGUGAACGGGCACAUGGGAACUGAGACUCAGCCCAGACUCCUACGGGAGGAAGCAGUAGAGAAUCUUCCGCGAUGGGGGAAAGCGUGACGGAGCAACGCGGCGUGAGGGAUGAAGGUCUUCGGAUCGUAAAACUCUGUUAUUAGGGAAGAACAUAUGUGUAAGUAACUGUGCACAUCUUGACGGUACCUAAUCAGAAAGCCACGGCUAACUACGUG